GCUCAGGAGCAUUAUCAGAACGA
rnacentral:siRNA from 1 species